rnacentral:rRNA from 1 species
UGGCGAACGGGUGAGUAACACGUGGGUGAUCUGCCCUGCACUUCGGGAUAAGCCUGGGAAACUGGGUCUAAUACCGGAUAGGACGAUGGUUUGGAUGCCAUUGUGGAAAGUUUUUCGGUGUGGGAUGAGCUCGCGGCCUAUCAGCUUGUUGGUGGGGUAAUGGCCUACCAAGGCGUCGACGGGUAGCCGGCCUGAGAGUGUGUAUGGCCACAUUGGGACUGAGAUACGGCCCAG